rnacentral:lncRNA from 1 species
CCGGGACCGGGACCGGGAUCGCCGUUGGGACGGGCUGACACCGGUCGGCGGGCGGUGAGCAAGCACGUUGUGCGUUACCCGUUGGGACUUCCUAUUCACUAUCACACAGUGCCUGGACACUUCCUCUUGUACUGUGUGAGACAACUGGCAUCCAGAUCAGAACCAGCACUUGAACUUCUCAGGUUCCCUAGAAGAAACAGACUACUACCAUCAAAAGAAAUCUGUCCCCAGGAUCAGAUGAACAUCUCUGAAAUCUGAUAUUUAUGUGAUUGAGACUUCAAUGGAAAUAGGACUGAGAAUGGUAGGAAGAGAUUUCAACCGCACUGUCCCAUGGUCACAGAAGUUAUUCUAUCACUCAUUCCUCCCACCCAGACAAACCAGCCUAAUAAUUUCC